CAGCACAGGAGAAUAUUCUGUGAUGUGGAGCAACGAAGGGGGUUCAAAUGCCUGCAUGAACUUUUGAAAUGGAUGGAAAGCAGCACCAUGUUUCUACCGGUAUCUUGAUUUAACCUGAAGUAUCGGCCUUCACUCCACCUCAAGCCUGACUGCAUCUCAUGCCAGAGGAUGUUUGACCAUCACAUCCAAUGUAUGCCCUAAUGGUAUGUUUGCGAUUUAUACUUAUAGUUUUAUCUCUACUGUUUUUUUCUGUGUGUUUUAACUUACUAAAUACAAUCUGUGCCUGGUUAUUUGACUAUA